UGAUUUCUCAAUUUCAAAUUCUUCAUUUGUAAAAUAAGGGAACUGAGCUAGAUCUCUCUGGUCUCUUCUAGAUUGAAAACAAAUACUAUUUACAAUAAAAAAAAAAAUCUUAGAAGACAGAUCUAUAAAGGAAAGAUGUUUUUAUAAUUAUAGGUUCCCCCAAAUGGACUAUAUGUAAAGUAAUAAGUGACUGAUCCAAGUGCAUUUCCAAAAAGAAGUAACCAUAUGGAGAUGUUGCAGAGAUUUUUGUUCAAACACAGGUUAGACUUAACUUUGAUGUUUUAUGAUUCUGAGACAAUAUAGCCUAGCUACCUUUCAUAUUUAUGCUGAAUCAUCACUAUAUUUUAAUUUCCUCUACAAAGACUUUCUAGAGAGAUGAGGAAAUGGGCCAGCACUAAACAAACAGUACCUGCUUACAUGAAGACAAUGUGAACUCAUCAUUGUGGGGAACUCUCUAAAUGGGAAAUCCUUUCACCAACAAAGAAGAUAAAGAGUUGCGAGAAUAACAUAACAAAAUACCAAGACUGGAUAUAAAAUGAAGAGGCAAAUGAAGAUUCUGAAGAUCAUUUGGAAGGAGAAGAGAUACCAGACAUCCAGGUCUUUUCUCAAACUAAACUCUAUUGCAAUUUCAUUGUACUG